rnacentral:misc_RNA from 1 species
CGAAUGGGUCCAAAGACUCUUAAAACCUACCGUGCUCCCCUACGUGGAAAACAGGAAAGCCCUCCGGGGCAUAGGAAAUCUGAGAAGUUGAGAACUGCGCCCCGGCGCAUGACUAAAACAAAAAUUA